rnacentral:rRNA from 1 species
GUCGUACGCUUCUUUUUCCACCGGAGCUUGCUCCACCGGAAAAAGAAGAGUGGCGAACGGGUGAGUAACACGUGGGUAACCUGCCCAUCAGAAGGGGAUAACACUUGGAAACAGGUGCUAAUACCGUAUAACAAUCGAAACCGCAUGGUUUUGAUUUGAAAGGCGCUUUCGGGUGUCGCUGAUGGAUGGACCCGCGGUGCAUUAGCUAGUUGGUGAGGUAACGGCUCACCAAGGCCACGAUGCAUAGCCGACCUGAGAGGGUGAUCGGCCACAUUGGGACUGAGACACGGCCCAAACUCCUACGGGAGGCAGCAGUAGGGAAUCUUCGGCAAUGGACGAAAGUCUGACCGAGCAACGCCGCGUGAGUGAAGAAGGUUUUCGGAUCGUAAAACUCUGUUGUUAGAGAAGAACAAGGAUGAGAGUAACUGUUCAUCCCUUGACGGUAUCUAACCAGAAAGCCACGGCUAACUACGUGCCAG